AGUUAUUACGAUUUAAGUAUAAUUAGUUUCUAAAACUUUAUUAAUUUAUAAAAUUAUGAUUUUUUAAAAAAACGUAAUGCUUUUAUAUAGGCAACUUAUUUUCUAAAAUGUAUCAAGUUAUUUACUUCCUUAAACUAUUUUCCAAAAUAUAUUCAUUGGGUCAAUUGUUUCAACAUUACAUAGUCAAGCCCAAACCAAAUAGUCAUUCAAACCCAUCAAAAUGCCAUCCUAAAUCAGAAUUUUAAACCCAAAAGAAAAAGGAAAACAAAAAUCUCAACACCACCGUCAUCAAACAUCACGCAUCAUCAUCUUCUUCACCAUCAUCACCAUGUUCAUCAUCAUACAUCCAUGGAAGCUUCUUGCAAGUUGCAAAUUCACUGAUCAUCUUCUUCUACGUGUAACCCAUCAAUUCAAACACCAUCACCAACCUUCUCCUCCACAACAAUCACCACCCAAAUCAUCCAAUCAACAUUGAUUUUCAAUCUGAUUUCUCACACCAUUUCACCUAUAAAUAGAGCAAGGAUUCAACCAAAUCAAUUCACAAAUCAAUUGCAAACUCAUCCUCAAAAUUUCAGCAAGUUUCAAUCCAACACAAAUCAAUUUAAAACUCCCUGCUUCUCGUGUUGCUCCGGUCUACCACCACCGCGGCUCUGCCGCCGCGUAACCACCACCCCGCCACUUCGCCUCCUCUCCUCCUUCUUCCUCCUCCUCCCGCAGCCUUGUUCUCUCUUCCCUCCUCGCGUCUGCUCCUGUCUCUCCCUCUCUCGCAACUCUCUCUUGUCUCCCUCCCUUCUUGCUUCGGUCCACCGGAAACCACCACCACCAAAACCCGCAGCCACGACCACCUGCAGCACCGCCCUCCCUGGCGCCGCGAACCACCUACAUCUCCGCCCAACACCAGCCACACUCCGUCGCCUUCCUCCUUCGUCAUCUUUCAUCCCCCUGCCUCCCUCCUCUUCCUCCCUCACCCGCGACUCUCUCCCCCUCCCUGCAGCAUCUACACCACCAAAACCGCAGCCACCUCCUCCCCUCCCGCCUGCUGUGCCGCCCAAUCUGAGCCGUGCAGCCACCCACGCAACUCCCUCCUCCUCUCCUCUGCUCCACCUUCUCUUCGUGCCUUCCCAUAUACACAGACCAAGUUUUGGUCUUUAAUUCAUUUGAAUCCAACAAUCAGUAAACCCAAGAAUCAAUAAUAUCUUUGACCCAUUAAAGAAUUCGUUUCUCGGAAUUCAAGGCGAACGUUUCAAUAAAGUUAAGGAGUAAGAAUUUCGUAUUGCGGUAUAAGGUACCGAAGAGGACAACGGGAUGGAUUAGUGUGAGGACGCAUCAGUUAAAGCAAGGUUACUCAGUUUAAUAAGAAGAACGAACCAACGAAAAGGCUUAGCAAAUUGUGGAAUUGAGGUACUGCUGGGGACCACGGAAACGAGUAGUGGCGAGGAUUUCACUAUAGCAAAGUUCACCUAAGUUAUUGUUAAGUUGUAACAAGUUUAAGUAUGACUCUUAUUUAAGUUAUGUACUUUGAUUAAGGAAUUAAAAAGGAUUAUUAUGGAGUUUUUGGGGUAAUUAUUAUGAUGGUGGCCUUGUAAUUCCCAAGAGGGAAUUAUGGCAGUAAUGUCCCGACCGUAU